rnacentral:rRNA from 1 species
UGGGGAAUAUUGCACAAUGGGCGCAAGCCUGAUGCAGCCAUGCCGCGUGUGUGAAGAAGGCCUUCGGGUUGUAAAGCACUUUCAGCGAGGAGGAAGGUGGUGAACUUAAUACGUUCAUCAAUUGACGUUACUCGCAGAAGAAGCACCGGCUAACUCCGUGCCAGCAGCCGCGGUAAUACGGAGGGUGCAAGCGUUAAUCGGAAUUACUGGGCGUAAAGCGCACGCAGGCGGUUUGUUAAGUCAGAUGUGAAAUCCCCCGGGCUCAACCUGGGAACUGCAUUUGAAACUGGCAAGCUAGAGUCUCGUAGAGGGGGGCUAGAAUUCCAGGUGUAGCGGUGAAAUGCGUAGAGAUCUGGAGGAAUACCGGUGGCGAAGGCGGCCCCCCUGGACGAAGACUGACGCUCAGGUGCGAAAGCGUGGGGGCAGCAAACAGGAUUAGAUACCCUGGUAGUCCACGCUGUAAACGAUGUCGAUUUGGAGGUUGUGCCCUUGAGGCGUGGCUUCCGGAGCUAACGCGUUAAAUCGACCGCC